rnacentral:rRNA from 1 species
GUGCCAGCAGCCGCGGUAAUACGUAGGGUGCGAGCGUUGUCCGGAUUUAUUGGGCGUAAAGAGCUCGUAGGCGGUUUGUCGCGUCGGCCGUGAAAACCUGCCGCUUAACGGUGGGCGUGCGAUCGAUACGGGCAGACUGGAGUUCGGCAGGGGAGACUGGAAUUCCUGGUGUAGCGGUGAAAUGCGCAGAUAUCAGGAGGAACACCGGUGGCGAAGGCGGGUCUCUGGGCCGAUACUGACGCUGAGGAGCGAAAGCGUGGGGAGCGAACAGGAUUAGAUACCCUGGUAGUCC